rnacentral:tRNA from 1 species
UGGGGCGUAGCCAAGUUGGUAAGGCAGCGGACUUUGGAUCCGCCAUUCCUAGGUUCGAAUCCUAGCGCCCCAGCCA